GAUCCCUCUGAUUUUUUUUGUUCCCCAUUCAAUUCAAGCCAUUUUACUUCACUUGCACCUCUACUGGAUGCGAAAUCCCUCACGAUUUCUUCUCAAAUGUGCAGUACAUGACUGGGAUCUAUGGUCUUUGCUUGGUCAGAGAAUUGCAGAUCUUUUUCCCCUGACUCUUUCCCUCUCUAAUAUGUCACCCAGUAGGAUUCAUUUGUGCUGCUGUGGUAAAGAAAUGAAGAAAAACCUUUCCUUAAAUCCCUGUAUGCAUGUUCCUUUCGAUUUCAUAGUGUGUAUAUCUGUAUGGUGAUUUUGUUCUCUUUUUACUACGUAUUUUGGAUGCCACUGAUGCCAUGUGAACAAAUUGAGCCUAUGUUACUUUUCAGUUUUCACUUUUGUAGCAUUUCUAUAGAUGGCUUUUGAAGUAAAUAAUUUCUCCACUUCUAUAGAUGCAUUUUGAACAAUCUGAGCAUUGUUUUGAACAAUAGAACCUGAAUUUCUAUCUACUGCAUCUGGUCUAUCGCAAAACAUUGCUCCACGAACUAGUAUGUGUUCUCUGGUUAAGUGAUUCCAUUUACCUGAUAGCAGUUAUUUACAGAUAAUUAUAGGUUGUUUUAGACCUUGUGUUUUUAUUGCCACUAUCAAAUGCACAUGCUUUAUCUUCAGUGAGUGAGAUUACUGUCACAUAGUGUUCUUGAACAUUGAUAUAUUUUGGAUCUAUACUUGUAACAUGAUUACAGCAAGUUUUUUCUGAAACUAUAGGUUUAUUUGUUGGCUGAGGGAUAUAACUAGAGCUUUAUUUCCUUUUUCUCUUAUAAAUUAAUAAAUGAGUUUUAUUUGUGAAUAUGACUAGUGGAGAGUUUAUGUUCAAAAUUCACCUUUGCAGCUAUGUUACUUUGUUUGGACUUAAAUCUGAUGAGAUGACUGAACUAAUCAUAAGUAUUUCUUUUCCCUUGUCAGGUUGCAUUACUACCGAGCAAGCUGAGCGUGAAAACCUAUGUGAUCUAUUGUUGAUGUUGCAGGUCUUGUUGGUGCUCUCGAACAUUUGCUCCUUUGCUUCUGGAAUCAAAUUGCUACUUGUAUCAGGUGCUUGGAUUUUUGGUGCUGUAGGUCCUGCUGGUGUGUAUUUUGGGUUGUUGUAUCUCUUUUCAAUGUAAACAUGAGAUUGUAUCUCUUAUUUUGGGCUGCUAAAAUUUUAUAUGUAUUUUAGGCUGUAAUGAUCAUUCUAGUGUAUGGUAUGAGAAAUUAGAUUGAAUUCUAGUGUAUGGUAUGAGAAAUUGGAAUGAAUUGAUGAGCUCAAUUUUUAA